GUGCCAGCCGCCGCGGUAAUACAGAGGGUGCAAGCGUUGUUCGGAAUUAUUGGGCGUAAAGCGCGCGUAGGCGGCGAUAUAAGUCGAUUGUGAAAGCUCUCAGCUCAACUGAGAAAGUGCGGUCGAAACUGUAUUGCUAGAGUAUCGGAGAGGAUGAUGGAAUGCCCCAAGUAGAGGUGAAAUUCGUAGAUAUGGGGCGGAACACCAGUGGCGAAGGCGGUCAUCUGGACGAUUACUGACGCUGAGGCGCGAAAGCGUGGGGAGCAAACAGGAUUAGAUACCCUGGUAGUCCACGCUGCAAACGAUGAGAACUAGGCGUCGCGGGUAUUGACCCCUGCGGUGCCGACGCUAACGCAUUAAGUUCUCCGCCUGGGAAGUACGGUCGCAAGAUUAAAACUCAAAUAAAUUGGCGG
rnacentral:rRNA from 1 species